GGGGAGUUCCUGGUGUAGCGGUGGAAUGCGCAGAUAUCAGGAGGAACACCGAUGGCGAAGGCAGGGCUGUUACUGACGCUGAGGAGCGAAAGCAUGGGGAGCGAACAGGAUUAGAUACCUAGUCCACCGUAAACGUUGGGCACUAGGCACGUUUUCCGCGCCGUAGCUAACGCAUUAAGUGCCCCGCCUGGGGAGUACGGCCGCAAGGCUAAAACUCAAAGGAAUUGACGGGGGCCCGCACAAGCGGCGGAGCAUGCGGAUUAAUUCGAUGCAACGCGAAGAACCUUACCAAGGCUUGACAUAUACCGGAUCGUUCCAGAGAUGGUUCUUCCCCUUUGGGGUCGGUAUACAGGUGGUGCAUGGUUGUCGUCAGCUCGUGUCGUGAGAUGUUGGGUUAAGUCCCGCAACGAGCGCCUCGUUCCAUGUUGCCAGCACGUGAUGGUGGGGACUCAUGGGAGACUGCCGGGGUCAACUCGGAGGAAGGUGGGGAUGACGUCAAAUCAUCAUGCCCCUUAUGUCUUGGGCUUCACGCAUGCUACAAUGGCCGGUACAAAGGGUUGCGAUACUGUGAGGUGGAGCUAAUCCCAAAAAGCCGGUCUCAGUUCGGAUUGAGGUCUGCAACUCGACCUCAUGAAGUCGGAGUCGCUAGUAAUCGCAGAUCAGCAACGCUGCGGUGAAUACGUUCCCGGGCCUUGUACACACCGCCC
rnacentral:rRNA from 1 species